AACUAACAGGGAUUCCCCUAGUAACUGCGAGUGAAGCGGGAAAAGCUCAAAUUUAAAAUCUGGCGGUCUUCGGCCGUCCGAGUUGUAGUCUGGAGAAGUGCUUUCCGCGCUGGACCGUGUAUAAGUCUCUUGGAACAGAGCGUCAUAGAGGGUGAGAAUCCCGUCUUUGACACGGACUACCAGUGCUUUGUGAUGCGCUCUCAAAGAGUCGAGUUGUUUGGGAAUGCAGCUCAAAAUGGGUGGUGAAUUCCAUCUAAAGCUAAAUAUUGGCGAGAGACCGAUAGCGAACAAGUACCGUGAGGGAAAGAUGAAAAGCACUUUGGAAAGAGAGUUAAACAGUACGUGAAAUUGCUGAAAGGGAAACGCUUGAAGUCAGUCGCGUCGUCCGGAACUCAGCCUUGCUUUCGCUUGGUGCACUUUCCGGAUGACGGGUCAGCAUCGAUUUUGACCGUCGGAAAAGGGCUGGAGUAAUGUGGCACCUCCGGGUGUGUUAUAGACUCUAGUCGCAUACGGCGGUUGGGAUCGAGGAACGCAGCGCGCCGCAAGGCAGGGGUUCGCCCACUUUCGCGCUUAGGAUGCUGGCAUAAUGGCUUUAAACGACCCGUCUUGAAACACGGACCAAGGAGUCUAACAUACCUGCGAGUGUUUGGGUGGAAAACCCGAGCGCGUAAUGAAAGUGAAAGUUGAGACCUCUGUCGUGGAGGGCAUCGACGCCCGGACCUGACGUUCUCUGAAGGAUCCGCGGUAGAGCAUGUAUGUUGGGACCCGAAAGAUGGUGAACUAUGCCUGAAUAGGGUGAAGCCAGAGGAAACUCUGGUGGAGGCUCGUAGCGAUUCUGACGUGCAAAUCGAUCGUCAAAUUUGGGUAUAGGGGCGAAAGACUAAUCGA
rnacentral:rRNA from 1 species